rnacentral:rRNA from 1 species
CCUCCGGGAGGCAGCAGUGAGGAAUAUUGGUCAAUGGGCGCGAGCCUGAACCAGCCAAGUAGCGUGAAGGAUGACUGCCCUACGGGUUGUAAACUUCUUUUAUCAAGGAACAAAGUGAGGUACGUGUGCCUUUUUUUAUGUACUUUAUGAAUAAGGAUCGGCUAACUCCGUGCCAGCAGCCGCGGUAAUACGGAGGAUCCGAGCGUUAUCCGGAUUUUUUUGGUUUAAAGGGAGCGUAAAUGGGUUGUUAAGUUAGGUGUGAAAGUUUGGGGCUCAACCGUAAAAUUGCAGUUGAUACUGGCAGUCUUGAGUACAGUUGAGGUAGGCGGAAUGCGUGGUGUAGCGGUGAAAUGCUUAGAUAUCACGAAGAACUCCGAUUGCGAAGGCAGCUUACUAAACUGCCACUGACAUUGAUGCUCGAAAGUGUGGGUAUCGAACAGGAUUAGAUACCCGGGUAGUC